CAAAAACAAAGCUAGUUCAGAACUCCAACAAAACCCAAACUAUCAAACCGCAGCAGUCAAUAAGAUGUAAGCAUUACCAUGCAGCACUAACCAAACUAAAAAGUGACUACAAAACAGCCCUUAAAAUACCUGCAGCCACUAGUAGCUAGCUAAUAUUAGCUCAGAGAUGUCGGAAAGCGUCUGGACAGCAAAACGAGCAACUAAUACAUAAAUACAGAAUGUUACCAGACUGUUUAAAAAACGGCUCUACUUACCUUGGCGAGGUGAAGGUGACCUAAGGCCAUUCUAAUAGAUUGACACCGACAGCAGGCUGACAGUGUUUCUGCACGGAUCCUCCACUUGUAUGUUGGUGAGAAUUGACAUUUUGCUGCAACCGCUGACUCGCACAAUGUUUGACACAUCACUUUAUUAUUGCUGGAUCAAUAUUCUAUUAUUGUUCAAUUAUAUUUAAUAAACCAAACCCAGGCAAACAAACAAUCCAUCACGACGGCCAGUGCAAGAGGCAUCUUGUUACUGCCAACAAGGUUGAGGAGGUUUGGAAACAAACAAAGUCUUCUUGAUGUGUUGGCUUUUGCCAUUUCACUGGCAUAGCCAUAGGCUGAAUUGCUUCACUGUUUCCAUGAAGGUCUUGUGACAUUUGAUUAGAAAGCCUGUUGGGAGUUCUUACAUGCCUUUUUCCUGAGAUGUUUGAAGUGUUUGCAGUUCACUGGAACUGUAUAAACAGCAGCCGUAAAGCCUCAGAGGUCUUUUCUUAGAGAAUCCAGACUGCUGUGUGGUUCCGUCAUAAAUCUUUGACUAACUAAACCAUUGCCUCUCAUUUAAGAGUAAGAAACCAAAGAAACCCAAAUCGAUACACAUGUGAUUUUAAGUCAACUUUAAAAAAAUGGUCUCAUCAUCAAGUGUAUCACAGAUGUUAGACUUCAUCUAACAUCUGUGCUUUACACUUUGUAUCUGGAAAUGCUCCUUAAAACAUCAUAUCUGCAUAUAUGUUAUCAAGAAUGUUUAAAAAACUUUUUUUUUUUUGCAUUAUCUGUGAAAUCAACUAUUUCUUAGACUGAUUGGAGAAUGAUAAGGGAUUUUAAUUCUGUGAGUUUUCAGUGUUAUCUAUGUUGCAAUAAUUGAUAGUUUGCAAAUAUUUGUAAAACAAAGGCUCUUUUUUCUUGGCAGUAAUUAUAAAAUAUGCACAUGCUGUAUCCAAGUCAGUACAAACCAGUAUUCAUUGUAUGUUCUUGUGAGACUAUGAAAUCUGUGACUAAACAUUACUGAGACAGUACAGUAGAACAAACCUAGAUAAGUUGACAUCACCAACAUCAUUACGAUCAUGACUGUUGUUUUGUCUCACGUCUGUAAUUCCACACUCUGUGUGCCUUUCUAAAGGCUGCUCGCCUCUCUUUAUCUUAACAUGCAGCCGUUUGCUCGAGGGAAUAGUAUUUUUAG
rnacentral:lncRNA from 1 species